rnacentral:rRNA from 1 species
CCUACGGGAGGCUGCAGUCGGGAAUAUUGCGCAAUGGAGGAAACUCUGACUCAGUGACGCCGCGUGCAGGAAGCAGGUUUUCGGAUUGUAAACUGCUUUAGACAGGGACUAAAAAAGACAGUACCUGUAGAAUAAGCUCCGUCUCACUACGUGACAGCAGCCGCGGUAAUACGUAGGGAGCAAGCGUUAUCCGGCUUUAUUGGGUUUACAGUGUGCGUAGACGGAGAAGCAAGUUAGUUGUGAAAUCUCUCGGCUUAACUGAAGAACUGCAAUUAAAACUACUUCCCUUGAGUACUGGAGAGGAAAGGGGAAUUCCGAGUGUAGCGGUGAAAUGCGUAGAUAGUAGGAGGAACACCAGUGGCGAAGGCGACUUUCUGGACAGUAACUGACGUUGAGGCACGAAAGUGUGGGGAGCAAACAGGAUUAGAUACCCCAGUAGUC